AAUCAUGUGACCGAAUCCUCACUCUUAUUUCGUCUCUUAAUCCAUUCAGAAAAAACCCUAAAAAUUGCUGAUCAGAUAAACCAGCAACUUGAACUGCUUGAGCUAUAAAAUCAUCUAUGAACUCGUCCACAGAUCUUUAUUGCUUCACUGCUGCCAAUCUUUCAACAGGAUUAGCAAACACAUCAUCCCCAUACCGUUGUAAUAUUUCAGCAGAUAAUUUCUCCCAUGUCAUGUUGGGAGAUCUCUGUUUCAACCACAAAAACCAGUGAAGAGCUCCUCCCUCCUUACAAAUCAAGGCCAACUGUACAUUUGAUUCAUUGCGAGUCUGGUGGAUGGUAAAAUCCCGCUCAGCCCUAGCUAACCACCCCAAGGGAUCCUGUCCAUCAAAGUUUUGGUAGUUGUACCCGUUUGGCUGAAAUUCCCAUGUUUCGUUUUGCUACUCGUGGAUCCGAGGUCUCUCCUUGGAGAUUCGAAGCUGAUGCUCCCUCCAAUUCCUCAUGAGUGGACUUCCCCUUUACUAAACAAGUAAGCAAUCCUUUUAUGGCAUCCAUCUUUUCGAGUGCCUGACUCAUUUCCUCCCAUAAAUCAUUCAACUUGCAAUCCCGUUCAGUUCGCAGUUGGAGUAUCUCUUCCUUCAAAAUUGCCAUGUUCCUCUCUAUCAUCUCCACUCGGUUCUCCAUUAGAGCAUUUGAUAGAGAUAGGAACAAUCAGAGAGAAUAGGAGAAAUUUAUAUUAAUACUCGUUAAACUCCUAUUUGGAAUCUCCAAAUGGCAUUCUGACCGCAUCCUCCUCCAACGGUAUGCUUUAUGCAAUAUGCCAAUGCCAUUGCCAAUAUCCAGUCCAGCCUCCUUUUGCAUGUGCAAGCUUGCACCUUGUCAUCUUCCUUCUGCAUAUGGCUGGGCUCAUUCAAUCCUCUCUUCUUCUUCAUCUUCUUCUCAUUCUUAUCCUUUUUAACCUUAGAAAAAUCUGGGUUUUCAAGCACAAGCGGCUUCAAUUGCUUCAAUUUUUCUUCUCUCGCUUUCAAAUAAUCCUCAAUACUACUGCCUCUCACAUUACUGUUACUACCAAUUGGCAUUAAAUCAAGCCUCCUCCUCUCCGCACGUUGCCCAAACUCCAAUUGCUGUGAAAGCUUACGCCUUUCCUUCUUAGUAAUAUUAAUUUCCCUCUGAACUUCAACCCAUUCUUCAGGAAUUAAAUUUUCGGACUGAAUUUCUGUUGAUUUCUUCUUAUUGUUGUUUUGUGGCUUAUUUUGGUUGUUGUCUGGUUUUUGAACAAAAGGGUCGUCGAAAAUUCCUUCUUCAAACACUAUACAGUCUCCGAUUACAUGUUCUUCGUCUUCUCGAGAGAAAUGGGU
rnacentral:misc_RNA from 1 species